rnacentral:lncRNA from 1 species
GUGUUUCACUUAGAUGUAUAGCGAGAAGUGCUGGUGUUCGAAGGUUAAGUGGUAUGUUCCUUUAGAUAGUGUUAAACAGUUUUCCAAAAUAGUUGCACCCAUUUAAACUCCUACCAGUAGAGUAUAUGAAUUCUGAUGGCCUCAUAUCCUUACUAAUACUUAAAUCUUCUUAACAUUAGCCAUUUGGUAUGUAUGAGCAGUACUUCAUUGUGUUUUAAUUUACAUUUCUCUGAUGACUAAUGAUACUGAACCUCUUUUCAUAUAUUUACUGAUUAUAUGACUGGC